rnacentral:rRNA from 1 species
GCCAUAGAAUGUGAUUAACUACCAAUAGUAUUAUAGAGUGGCAUCACUUAGUAAUUAAAGAUUUAUUGGACAGAGAUGAGCGUGCGUCCCAUUAGCUAGUUGGUGCGGUAACGGCGUACCAAGGCGACGAUGGGUAGCUGGUGUGAGAGCACGACCAGCCACACGGGCACUGAGACACGGGCCCGACUCCUACGGGAGGCAGCAGUGAGGAAUAUUGGUCAAUGGGCGGAAGCCUGAACCAGCCAUGCCGCGUGAAGGAUGAAGGCGUUCUGCGUUGUAAACUUCUUUUAUUUGGGAAGAAAAUUGUGGUUUCUACUGCAACCGACGGUACCAGAUGAAUAAGCACCGGCUAACUCCGUG